rnacentral:rRNA from 1 species
UACGUAGGGUGCGAGCGUUGUCCGGAAUUAUUGGGCGUAAAGAGCUUGUAGGCGGUUUGUCGCGUCUGCUGUGAAAUCUCAAGGCUCAACCUCGAGACGUCGGUUGAAACCGCGUGGCUAGAGUCCGGAAGAGGAGAGUGGAAUUCCCGGUGUAGCGGUGAAAUGCGCAGAUAUCAGGAAGAACACCCGUGGCUAAGGCGGCUCUCUAGUACGUGACUGACGCUGAGGCGCGAAAGCGUGGGGAGCAAACAGG